rnacentral:tRNA from 4 species
GCCCAGAUAGCUCAGUUGGUAGAGCAGGGGAUUGAAAAUCCCCGUGUCGGCGGUUCGAUUCCGUCUCUGGGCA